rnacentral:rRNA from 1 species
AGUAGCAUGGCAGACGGGUGAGGAGCACGUACCUGACCUGACACACGGAGGGGGAUAGUCCCCCGAAAGGGGGUUGAAUACCGCGUACGCUCGUCAAGGCAGCUUGAUGAGGAGAGGUGGCCUCUGCAUGCACGCUAUCGCCGUGUGAGGGGGGUGCGUCCUAUUAGCUGGCUGGUGGGGUAAUGGCCUACCAGGUCGACGAUGGGUCGCUGGUCUGAGAGGAUGAUCAGCCACACUGGGACUGAGACACGGCCCAGACUCCUACGGGAGGCAGCAGUGGGGAAUUUUGCGCAAUGGGGGGAACCCUGACGCAGCACCGCCGUGUGAGUGACGACGCCGUUCGCGGUGUAAAGCUCUGUGAGGCGGGACGAAGGCUCCGGGUGAAGAACCUGCGAGGGUGACGGUACCGCCACAGCAAGCCCCGGCUAACUCCGUGCCAGCAGCCGCCGGUAAGACGGAGGGGGCGAGCGUUGUUCGGAAUUACUGGGCGUAAAGCGCCCGCAGGCGGUGACGUGAGU